UACGGAGGGGGCUAGCGUUGUUCGGAAUUACUGGGCGUAAAGCGCACGUAGGCGGCUUUGUAAGUUAGAGGUGAAAGCCCAGGGCUUAACCCUGGAAUUGCCUUUAAGACUGCAUCGCUCGAAUUGUGGAGAGGUGAGUGGAAUUCCGAGUGUAGAGGUGAAAUUCGUAGAUAUUCGGAAGAAACACCAGUGGCGAAGGCGACUUACUGGACACAUAUUGACGCUGAGGUGCGAAAGCGUGGGGAGCAAACAGG
rnacentral:rRNA from 1 species